CUAGAUCCAAUACUAUUUUCCUCAAACUCCAAGGUAACUGACUACUUUUCCUUAUGCUCAAAGGCGCGGUAAGUCUAGAGAGAGGAAUAGUUGGAUAGUAAAGAUCGGACUAGUGGCAGGGGGUCAAUAAAAUGGCCUCUGGUUAUAUACUAGGAACAACACUACAACACUUGACAGAGUCCAGGGGCCAGCUCUUGGGCUUCUCCCUUCUAUACCACAGGCACUUGCCCUUCCAAACUCUAAAAUAUCCCACCCUGGUCAACAAGUUCCCUUGAAUGGAGAUCUCUCUAAUUCCGGUGGAAAGGGAAAGCAGCAAAAUAGAAAGAAGGCAGCGGGAGAAUGGAAUGAGCUUACCUGCAAAGCGAGAGCAGCAUCAAGGACUGCAGAUGAGAGAAUGGACAAUGAGAACUGACUGCAAUGGAGAUAGUCGAUGUACUCCAGGCACCUCCAAUUGCUUCCGGAAGCCCAUAACUCAAACCCAGAGGGGACAAACAACCAAUGUUAUCUCUGCCCUGAUCUCAUGUUUGAGCUAAAUUCCACACUCUCAGCACUUUUUGUAGAGUGGGGGUUUUUCUUCGCUGCCAUACCUUCCUAUGGAGCCAAGGGCAUGGCAGCCAGUCAAGCUAUUAUCAUCUUCUUCUCUGAAGGUAUUCUCACCUUCCUCCCUUCGUUCCCUGCAUACAGAACUUCCAUUGGAUGCCUUUCUUUUUUAAAAGUUGCUUUCUAAGCUCCCUUUUCUGAAGGGGAGCUUUGUGGGGCUCUCUUUGUCAUCCAGGGUCACAUUCUAAUGCCACUGUCCUCAUCACCCAUGUCAACUCUGGAAAAAGUGAUGCUCAAUUGGACACAAGAGAAGAACCCUGGAAGAGAAGGUCUUCUUUAUUUCUCAACUCUUGCAAGAGAACUUGGAAUGUAAGGGGCAUUAUAUCACACAUACCAGCUGGAUGUCUCACAAAAUCUGAUGGCUGUGGAAAGAUUGCUGGAUUUGGAGCCAAAGGACCCAUUCUGAUUCUGAUUCUGCUACUUAAGACCCAUUAAAGCUUGGUCCACAAGACCUCCUCUUUCUGGUCCUUAGUUUUCUCAUCUGUAAAAUGAGAGGAUUGGACAAGAUAAUUGCUAAAGUCUCCAUUCUAACUCCAAAGAUGCUGAGGAAGCAUUACUCCAAACCACUUGUCACAGAAUCAGGAGAUUCCCAUCAUAACAACAGAACAUUUUGACAUCCUUUGCCCAAGGACAAUUGCAUUGGAAAAUCAAUCAGCUCUAGAUCCUGAGUUUAAAAAAAAAGGCACAAAAAUCAGUGGGCUAGUUAUCCUCCCCAGCAGCAUCAACAAUAUGGCAGCUGAUGCCAUGCGUUUGAACAAGACAGACCUCUCCAAUGACCACAUCCACGGGACUAUCUGCCAGCAUCCUCCUUUGCAAUAUUGUUUCCACUUGGCCUCAUUUCACCCCCAUUGUCCCCUAAGCCAAGGGCUAAUACUCACAUUGUUGUGUCUGCUGGGAAGGGAGAAAACAAGAUUCCAUGCCCAGCCUUGAAUAUGACCCAAGUACGGGCCAAGUACUAUUAGGCUCACAGAUUUAGAGCUAGAAAUAGGGUGACUUUUGAAAAGCCUGAACUUUUCAAAGAAGCAUGAGCCCUACUAGCCAAUGGACUCCAGAUGUUCUCCUGUGUCCAUCAGCCCUGCCUAUGAACAAUUCUAACAUGUCAGAACAAAAGGACAAAGGGCAUUGGGGCUGUUUCCUCAGCAAGAUAUCAACUUUUUUUUCUUAAAACAAAUUUUUCAAAGGUUAGAUAGGGUCCAGACACCAGAAAAGCCUGGGAACCUCCAGGAGAACAGACCAUUGAAAGGAUGCCAUAGGACAAGAAGAGGCAUGGGAAUAGGGAAUAUUUCAAUGAAAAUCCAGGAGACUCACACCACUGGUCUGGAGGAAUUGCAUGGGAAAGUUCUAAGCGAUGGUCUUCCUCAUUAUUACAGCACUUAGUACAAAGGACAAGAAGCAAACUAGUAUCUGUAAGACAAUAAUGGAACUUUUUGUAGUUACAAAGAAUAGGAAGGAAAGCAAGGACCCUUCAAAUGUGCAAUGGUGAAGAAAAUGAUGGCAUAUUAAUGUAGUAGAAUAUUGGGGUUAUAAGAGAUGAUAAAAUAUGAAGAAUCCAAAGAAACUUGAGAUUUUUAUGAAAUGAUAUAAAAUAAAAAAAGGAAAACAACAACAACAACAACAAAACCCAAACAAGUGACAUGAUAACCAUAAUGACUUCAGAAUUCAUUACCAUUCCCCCAUUUCUGAACUUCCCUAUCAUUGUCAAGGGAACUACCUACUCCCAGUCACCUAGGUGUCAUCCUUGCCUCCUUAUUCUUUCUCAUUCCACCCUUAUAUCUGAUCUAUUACCAAGUUCUGUCAAUUUUACCUUCAUGGUAUGUCUUACAUAUGCCUCCUCCCUUCUCUGACACAGCUACUACCCAGUUCAGGCCCUUAUCACCUCAAAUUUCUCUCUGUUCCACUUUAGCCAACACUCAGCUUCAAAUUAAUCCUCCUAAAGCGAAAGUCUGACCCUAUAACCCUCUCCCCCAACUCAAUAAAUUCCAGUGGCUCCCUAUCACCUCCAGGAUCAAAUAUAAAAUUCUGUCUGACAUUCAAAACCCUUUAUAACCUGGACCCUUCCCACCUUUUCAGUCUUAUUAUAUCUUAUAACUCAACAUGUACUUAUGAUCCAAUGAUACUGGUGUCUCCUUGCUAUUUCUCAAACAAAACAUUCCAUUUUCCAGACUCUAGGCAUUUUUAUUUGCUGUCCCUCAAGCCUGGAAUUCUCUUCUUCCUUAUCUCCAAAUCCUGGUUUGCCUGGCAACUAAAAUCCCACCUUUUACAGGAAGUUUUUUCCAAUUCCCCUUUAAUGUUAGUUAAUGUCUUCCUUUUGAAUGUUUCCCAUUUAUCCUGUAUAGACACACUUCAUUUUAUUGUGUUUCAUAGAUAUGGUGGGUUGUUUUUUUUUUUUUUUGCCCUAUAUUUGAAGAUUCAUGGCAACCCUGCAUGGAGCAAGCUUGUCGGUGCCAUUUUUUUCAACAGCAUGUGCUCACAUUGUGUCUCUAUGUCACAUUUUGGUCAUUCUUGCAAUUUUUCAAACAUUUUCAUUAUUAUUAUAUCCAUUAUAGUGAUCUGGAAUCAGAAAUCUUCAAGGCUACUAUUAUAAUUGUUUGGGGGCUCUACAAAUAAGUGGGUGAACUUAACUGAUAAAAGGUGCAUAUGUUCUGAUUGUUCUACCAACCCUUCAUUCCCUGUCUCUCCUUUCUCUCAUCUCUCUCCUCCUUGGGCUUCCUUAUUCCUCAAGAUACAACAAUAUCAAUAUUAAGCCACUUAGUAACCCUACAAUGACCUCUAAGUGUUCAAGUGGAAGAAAGAGUCAAUCCAUGUGGCAAACUUCAUUGUUUCAUUUUAAGAAACUGCCAUAGCCACCUCAUCCUGUAUCAACCACCACCCUCAUCAGUCAGCAGCCAUCAACAUAGAAGCAAAACACUCCACCAGCAAAAAGAUGACAAAUCCUGAAGAGGCAGAGGGUUAGUAGUUUUUAUCAAAUGUAAUUUUUUAAAAUUAAGGUAUGUACAUUGCUUUUAUAUAUACUAUUAACACACAUUUAGUAGGCUAUAGCAUGGUAUAAAUAAUUUUUAUAUUCACUGGGAAACAAAAAAAAUUGUGUGACUUGAUUUAUUAUGUAAUAUUAAUUUUCUGAUGGUGGUCUAGAAACGUAUCUUCCAGGUAAGUCUGUAUAUAUCUUGUUUGUAUGCAAUUUUUUGCAUAAUUUCUCUCCCCCACUAGAUGGAGAGCUCCUAGAGAGGAGAAACUACCUUUGGUAUUUCUUUGUAUAUCCAGAGCUUAAUGCAAUGCCUGGAACAUAUUAGGCACUUAAUAAAUGUUUGUUAACUGACACUGUGAUUUCAGAUGAUUGAUACUGAAAUGUGCUUGCCGAGUCUCAAACAGAGAGGUGAUAGUCUUUUGCACAGAAUGAGAUAUUUUCAGUCAUGGCCAAUGUGUUCAUUUACUUUGCUUGACGGGGUGGACAAAGGAAUCAUUGAGAAGUGAUACAGACAUUUUAAAAAAUAGUAAUUUUUAAAUUUUUAUUUAUUUUUUGUUUUAAAGGUAUUGGACUUUAUAUCAGGAGAUAUGGUUCUAUGCCCUGUUCUAUUUAAUGAGUUAUGAGACCAUGGCAAGUGACUUAGUUUUUCUAGGUCUUGGUUUUCUAAGCUGCUUUUCUCACAAGACUGAAAUAAAAGACAUAUCCUGAAAACAACCAUGUCUUUGCAAAUAUAAAGGAUAACAGGCGUCACAACAAAGUUUUAAAGCCAGGGUGAAAAAUCUCAAAAUUAUAACAAUAAUCCUCAGUCUGUAAAUUUCUAGCAUUUGUAACUCACUCUCAGGAAGAACAAAGAACAGUAAAAAUGGGAAAUUGGAGUUUCAGAACAAAAGUGAGUAUCUCCAUGUAAAGAUGGGAAUUGGAGUUUCAGAACAAAGAUGAGUAUCUCCAUGUAAAGAUGGGAAUUGGAGUUUCAGAACAAAGAUGAAUAUCUCCAUGUAAAGAUGGGAAUUGGAGUUUCAGAACAAAGGUGAGUAUCUCCUUAGUAAAGAUGGGAAAUUGGAGUUUCAGAACAAAGGUGAGUAUCUCCAUGUAAAGAUGGGAAUUGGAGUUUCAGAACAAAGGUGAGUAUCUCCUUAGUAAAGAUGGGAAAUUGGAGUUUCAGAACAAAGAUGAGUAUCUCCAUGUAAAGAUGGGAAUUGGAGUUUCAGAACAAAGGUGAGUAUCUCCUUAGUAAAGAUGGGAAUUGGAGUUUCAGAACAAAGGUGAGUAUCUCCUUAGUAAAGAUGGGGAAUUGGAGUUUCAGAACAAAGGUGAGUAUCUCCAUGUAAAGAUGGGAAUUGGAGUUUCAGAACAAAGGUGAGUAUCUCCAUGUAAAGAUGGGAAUUGGAGUUUCAGAACAAAGGUGAGUAUCUCCUUAGUAAAGAUGGGGAAUUGGAGUUUCAGAACAAAGGUGAGUAUCUCCUUAGUAAAGAUGGGAAUUGGAGUUUCAGAACAAAGGUGAGUAUCUCCAUGUAAAGAUGGGAAUUGGAGUUUCAGAACAAAGGUGAGUAUCUCCAUGUAAAGAUGGGAAUUGGAGUUUCAGAACAAAGAUGAGUAUCUCCAUGUAAAGAUGGGAAUUGGAGUUUCAGAACAAAGGUGAGUAUCUCCUUAGUAAAGAUGGGAAUUGGAGUUUCAGAACAAAGGUGAGUAUCUCCUUAGUAAAGAUGGGAAUUGGAGUUUCAGAACAAAGGUGAGUAUCUCCUUAGUAAAGAUGGGAAUUGGAGUUUCAGAACAAAGGUGAGUAUCUCCAUGUAAAGAUGGGAAUUGGAGUUUCAGAACAAAGGUGAGUAUCUCCAUGUAAAGAUGGGAAUUGGAGUUUCAGAACAAAGGUGAGUAUCUCCUUAGUAAAGAUGGGAAUUGGAGUUUCAGAACAAAGGUGAGUAUCUCCUUAGUAAAGAUGGGAAUUGGAGUUUCAGAACAAAGGUGAGUAUCUCCUUAGUAAAGAUGGGAAUUGGAGUUUCAGAACAAAGGUGAGUAUCUCCAUGUAAAGAUGGGAAUUGGAGUUUCAGAACAAAGGUGAGUAUCUCCAUGUAAAGAUGGGAAUUGGAGUUUCAGA